UGGGGAAUAUUGCGCAAUGGUCGAAAGACUGACGCAGCGACGCCGCGUGUGGGAGGAAGCCUUUCGGGGUGUAAACCACUGUCAGGUGGGAAGAAAUACGCGUGUCCAAACAGGGCAUGCGCUUGACGGUACCAUCAGAGGAAGCGCCGGCUAACUCCGUGCCAGCAGCCGCGGUAAGACGGAGGGCGCAAGCGUUGUUCGGAAUUACUGGGCGUAAAGCGCGGGCAGGUGGUCCGUUAAGUCUCUUGUGAAACUCCGGGGCUCAACUCCGGACAUGCAGGAGAUACUGGCGGACUAGAGACCGGUAGAGGCCAGUGGAAUUCCUGGUGUAGCGGUGGAAUGUGUAGAUAUCAGGAAGAACACCGGUGGCGAAGGCGGCUGGCUGGGCCGUGUCUGACACUCAUCCGCGAAAGCGUGGGGAGCAAACAGG
rnacentral:rRNA from 1 species